GUGAAGACUGCCUUCUUAAACGGUGACCUCAAGGAAACCGUUUAUAUGGAGCAACCUGAUAACUUUGUCAUUAAGGGCCAGGAGAAUAAGAAAGGUGGCCUUGAGGUCUCCGCCUAUGCUGAUGCAGACUGGGCGAAUGAUGAGGGAGAUCGGCGUUCGUAUACUGGUUUUGUUUUCAAGUUGGGUAAGUCAGUUAUUUCAUGGGAAAGCCGUAAACAAAAGACCGUAGCUUUGUCGAGCACUGAAGCUGAAUACAUCUCUUUAGCUGACUCUUGUAAAGAAGGCUUAUUCAUUUGUAAGUUGUUGAAAGAUAUUUUAAAUAGAGAUGUUAAAAUUACAAUUUUUAACGAUAAUCAAUCUGCUCAAAAAUUGUGUAAAAAUAGUCUUUAUCAUGCUCGAACUAAGCAUAUAGAUGUAAGACAUCAUUUUAUAAGGCAGUAUGUAAAUGAUGGAAAAAUUUCAUUGAGAUAUUUAUGUACUAAUGAUAUGUUAGCAGAUAUCUUCACGAAAGCUUUAUGUAAAGAAAAGUACAAAGGGUUUGUAGGACAGUUAAUGUUAUGUUAGCGAGUCUAGUGAUUAAUGUAAACUAGAACAAGUAUUAUUAUAAGUAAUAAUGUGUUUUUGCAUAACUGAAAUUGCAUUUAAUUUUGUUGUUCCUUUUUUUUCUUUCGUAAAGCAACUUGAUUUGUUGAUACAAUGUUUGUGAUAAGUAGUAGGUACAUGUAAGCCUAAGUUAACAUUGUUUAAUGUUUUUAAUUUGUGUUUAAGGGCCAGUGUUAGAUUGUAAACACAAACUAAACGCAAAAGUGUUUGACAGUGACGUUUGUUAGUGACAAUUCAACUUCCUGUUUGUCUCUUCCGCUCUCGAUGGUUGUUGCGCUGUGUAACCUGUGUUUUAAUUACCGAAAUAAAUCUCUGAUAAUACUAAAUAAA